AGAUAUGAGGGGCGAUCUGACUGUGACAUCUGUCACUCUAUUGAUCGCCAGGGUUGAUUCAGCUGAUCUGGCUAGCUAGGGCAAGGAGUCCCCUUUCCUCCCUCAACCACUCCAUGUGCUUUCCCCUCUUCGAAUCUGUGCACUCAGUGGAAGAGGACAGCCAUCCCCAAUAGAGGAAGGCCAGUCUUCAGUCAAGGGUAUACAAGUAGCUGCACUCCCCCUGCUAGAACCUCCAAACAAGCUCUCAAGGUCCAGUUUGUAAGAGGAAUGUAGGGUAGUCAAGCUUUUCAAGACUCCGAGAUCGACAUCCCAAGUGAGCUGCUAGCAUGUGGCAGUUCUGCCUUUUCUU
rnacentral:snRNA from 1 species